rnacentral:rRNA from 1 species
AUUGAACGCUGGCGGCAGGCCUAACACAUGCAAGUCGAGCGGAUGAAGGGAGCUUGCUCCUGGAUUCAGCGGCGGACGGGUGAGUAAUGCCUAGGAAUCUGCCUGGUAGUGGGGGAUAACGUCCGGAAACGGGCGCUAAUACCGCAUACGUCCUGAGGGAGAAAGUGGGGGAUCUUCGGACCUCACGCUAUCAGAUGAGCCUAGGUCGGAUUAGCUAGUUGGUGGGGUAAAGGCCUACCAAGGCGACGAUCCGUAACUGGUCUGAGAGGAUGAUCAGUCACACUGGAACUGAGACACGGUCCAGACUCCUACGGGAGGCGGCAGGGGGGAAUAUUGGACAAUGGGCGAAAGCCUGAUCCAGCCAUGCCGCGUGUGUGAAGAAGGUCUUCGGGUGGUAAGGCACUUAAGUUGGGAGGAAGGGCAGUAAGUUAAUACCUUGCUGUUUUGACGUUACCAACAGAAUAAGCACCGGCUAACUUCGUG